rnacentral:lncRNA from 1 species
UUCUAUCUGAAGCAGGGAUCAGUCCUCUGUUCCCUCAUUGGCAAGUCACUGGAAAGAGGAACCGGGAGGAGUACCAAAGUCUCUGCAGUGGUCAUCACUGGUCACAGGACAGCAGGGCACGGGGAGAGCCCCAGACUGCCCAAAGGAGGGAGCAGGCCCUGCAGUCUUCCGGGAGGAGGUGGGGCCUGAACCACCCGUAAGAGAUACACAGGACCCGGGAAGAGGGCCUGGAGGAAAGGGUGAGUCCGGGUGGGGUGGCAGCAUCCUCUCUAGGCUGAGCUUGGAAAUGGAUGCAUGGAACCAGGCAUGCCAGGGGCCAGCCAGAAGGCCCGAUGCACCGUCUUCCCGGACAGUAGGUCCCAAUAAUCCAGCACAAAUGACAGGAGAGGCUCUAGGGACGUCUGGGCAUCACAGACCGAUGCAGCAAAGACAUCAAGUCUUCACUGCAGCCCCUGUUGCUAUUUAAGGAAGGAAAACCCCUGUGUGUGGUAACAGGCAAGCAGAGAUUGGUACCUGUGAGUAGGGAUCCUGCUCCCAGGUAGGGGGCGAAACCAGAUGAUACUAGCCCUGGUUUUCCGGUUCUAAUAAGUGGGACUUUGGCCCAGUGACAUCCCCUUACUGUGCCUCCGUUUUCAAGCCACAGAGCAGGAGCAGCAACAUAUGCCACAUUCAUUCAUCGGCUUGUUCACUGGCUGAUCCCAUGAGUCACGGUGCUGAUCCCAUGAGUCACGGUGCUGGGCACCGUGCUGGACGCUGGGCACCUGCUGGACGCUGGGCACCAUGCUGGACGUUUAGGCACCUGCUGGACCCUGGGCACCGUGCUGGAUGCUGGGCACCACAGACAGUAAGCUCUCACGGGGCCAACACCCUAGAGGCACUAGAGGAGCAGUCGCUCAAUGAAUAGAGAUGUACAAAUUUGGGUAAGUGCUCUAAACAGGUACGAGAGCUGUAAGAACAGGAAAUGGAGAACGUGAAAUGAUUCAGCCUAGCAAGAAAGGUCGGGGAAAGUUUUCCAGAAGUGACAUUUGUGAUGACACGCAAAGAAUAAGGGGGCAAUGGGAUGAAAUUUGGAGAAAGGGGAAAGGCAUUCCAGGCAGAGGGAACAGCACAUAAAAGGCCCAGUGGCAGGAGGGAGUGUGGGACCAUCGAGCCCCUCCCAAGCCAGUGCCUGGUGCACGGACCACAAAAGGGUGACAGGAAGCAGAUUUGUUGAGAGGUUGACAAGGGCAACAUGGGGAGGCAGCCACCAAAGGGCUCGAGCAGGGACAGGUGCCUGGCCAGCAGAGCUCAGGGGGAGAAGGGACAGGACGAUGGGAUCGGGGAGUAGAGGCCGGGAACUACAUUCCAGGGUUCCCACUUGCUCAGGUGGGCGGCCAGGGGGUCUAGUCCUGCUCAGGUGCCGACUGUGGGGAAACAACUCCUCCUCCUAGAGACUGGAAGAGCUGGAACCAGCUCAGCGGGUGAGA